AGCAGCCGCGGUAAUUCCAGCCCCAAUAGCGUAUAUUAAAGUUGUUGCAGUUAAAAAGCUCGUAGUUGAAUUUCGGGAUUGACGUGAUGGUCAUGCCUUAAGGGGUAUGAACUGUUGCAGUUGAUUUCUCACCUUCUGGAAAAACUUGAUGUCCUUUAUUGGGUGUCUUGCGGAUCCAGGACCUUUACCUUGAAAAAAUUUAGAGUGUUUAAAGCAGGCAUUUUUGCUCGAAUACAUUAGCAUGGAAUAAUAGAAUAGGACGGCAUGGUUCUAUUUUGUUGGUUUCUAGGAUCACCGUAAUGAUUAAUAGGGAUAGUUGGGGGCAUUAGUAUUCAAUUGUCAGAGGUGAAAUUCUUGGAUUUAUUGAAGACUAACUACUGCGAAAGCAUUUGCCAAGGAUGUUUUCAUUAAUCAAGAACGAAAGUUAGGGGAUCGAAGACGAUCAGAUACCGUCGUAGUCUUAACCAUAAACUAUGCCGACUAGGAAUCAGACGAUGUUAAUUUUUUAAUGACUCGUUUG
rnacentral:rRNA from 1 species